AAAUCGAGUGAUCCUUGGAGAGGAGGGGAAGGGGAAGGGGAAGCGGCCGAUUCAAGUUUUCAAUACGAAAGUUGAUUCGGCCGUCAGUGAUUCCGGUGCGAUCGUCGUGAACGUCGCUUCUGCCUUCCUUAGUGUCCUAUCUACUAAUUUAUCAUUGCGUCACUUUACGAGAAAUUGGUCACGGUUAAGCGCACGUGCUCGCGUGUUUCUCGAUCUCGAAAUUCGAACGAGAGUGAGCAAGAGUUUCGCAGUGUGAGAAGAGAGAUGGACGAAAUAAAUGUAUCCAAAUGUCUAACGGGGGAAGGGGGGGUUAAGGAUUUUUAACGGAGGAACAGAGAAUUUCAAGGAGCGAGAAGGCGAGAGGAAGGAUCAAGAAGAAGAGAUGCGAGGAGGCGAUUCGAUUGAUACGUGGAUCGAGAGCAAGGCCAAAGUGCACCGAAAUAGUUGACGGUAGCUUACAAAGGGCUAUUAAUAUUUAAUUCGAUUCGUGGCUCGAAUUUUCUCACAGGGACAAAGUUAAAUAAUGUGUCGAUUGGAAAAUCGUAAUCGUCGCCGAUUCAAGUGAGAACGAUGGAAGAUUGAUCUAGGUCGUUGUAUCUCGCGUUUCGUAACUGUUACGUACUCGCGUUACCAAAUUUUACGAGUACGUAAGGCGACGAUACGAAGAAAGUUCAAGUGGACUCGUCUUCUUUCCAAGAUCCAUUUUUUCUCUUCUUUUUUUUCAAUGUGUAUAUGUAUAUAUACACAUUGAUUAACGCCUUUUGCAAGGAGGACGAGAAUGGAAUCUCCAAAGCUUUGAUUACGUUCCACGUCGUAUUAUAAAACGUUCAAACUGGAUGAGUUUCGAUAGGAACCAGGUUACACGCUUAAGGUUCAACACGAUUUACGUUAUCGUUCGGUUUCCAACACAUUGCGCAAUACGCAUCACUGGCACCGGUUAAUAUUUUUAACUUUAACGCCGACAGUCCGUCGAGCUUCUUCUAAUUUUAUAGCCGCAUGAAAUUUAAUAAUUUACGAUCAACAACCUCGAUGAUGGAAAAAAAAGAACCCUCUAUUUUAUUUAACGACUGUCGUUUCGAUAAUGUAUAAAACAGGAAUCCUGCUGAUCUGAGGGAAAAAUGUCCUUCGCCAAUUUCUUCCGUUUCGACCAAUAACGUUCAAAUCUAAACAAUUUUCGUUAGAUCCAUUAUCAAAUUGAACGCCUCGGAGUCGAGUUGAAAUUCUCGAGUGAGAAAGGAAAGGAAUCGCUGGAUCGAAUUUACCAAAAUUCAACGUGCAACGAUAGAAUUAAUCGACGAUAAUUGAAGCGAAUCCACGUUAAAUCAAUAAGUCUCACCCUAAAUCAAUAAUAAUGAGGGCGAUUAAACGGCAAAUGUGGAUCAUCGGUAUUUAGCCGGACGAUUGGAAUCGCGUGUCGGCCACGAGCGUGCGCGCAAGUUCGACGUCCUCGAUUAAGCGUUCUACGCGGGCUGGGUAUUUUUAAAUUCACUGUGAUCGCCGCGAUAUACGAGACAUCCCGUGCGUGCUCGAAUAAAGUUUCAUUUCCUCGCGGGAUCCUCGGCCAGGGAAACAGACGCCGUCUAAUUUGCGAAUACGCGGUCUGAGAAAAUCCUCCUCUUCAGAACUUAUCAAAGUCUUAUUCGAUUUUUCUCCACCGCGGGUUUAAUCGCAGGCUAUGGUCGAAAUGUCUCUGUCGGGUAAAUACCGAGUUCUAGAUACUGCAAUUGGUGCACGGAUCGAUACGAUCGAAAGGGGCCAUAAAGGGGACACGAGACCCCUAUCUCGUCCCCUAACCUGGAUUAGCCUCGGUUUAGGGGAGGCCAAUUUUCUUCUCGUCGUUUUUCCCUACGAGGGAAAUCGAGGGGACGGAAAUAAAAGAUAACGAAUUAUCCGGGAUGUGGAAAAUGGCGGUAUAAAAAAUGUAGAGAAGAGCGGAGAGAAAAAAAAACGGGGUCGAGGAAGUCGGAGAAGCGAAAACGUAGCAAGAGGAGGACUAGAGUAUUUUCGUUUCCACCGAAAAACAUCUCUUCCCUCCUCCUCCCCCUUCUCCCUCUUGUUUGUUUGUCUAGGUUACUCCACUCGCCACCCACGUGUUUGUCACAGUUCCUCCCUUCUUGCUUCGUGACCGAUCCAUUUUUCUUUUUUCUCGUUCACGCAUUUUCCUCCUCGAUCCCCAGUUUCGCUUUUUCCCUCCUCGCCGCCUCGAUUGAGUAAGAACGAAUCCGGACCAAUGGGGAGGCGAGGCGAGUCACAGUUUAUCGAAACGCGGCGUUUCCUUCCUCUUUCUCUCUCACCGUCGCGAUCUUACAUCGAACAUUUCGUAACGAGGUGAGGUUUAUCUUCGCUUCGGCUAGAUAAUCUGUCGCGCGCGCUAAUACACCCGCGUGUCACGUCGCGCCGCACCGCGAUGCCCAACCACGCUGCUGCGGCAAAAAACAUUCUUUUUUUCGCGGCAGUCGUUCUCGGCCGCUCGUCUAUCAACCAGCUGCGUGUCUCGCGCCGUCGAUUCGAUCCCAUCGCGUAUCUAUUCCAUUUUAAUAAUCGAGCGCAAAAGUGUGUAUAUAUGUAUAUAUAUAUGUAUAUAUGUAUAUAUCAUGUAUAUGAGCCGUUGAAAAUUUAGGUAAGAAUCGAGAGAUCGAGAUUGGUGAAUUGGAAAUUGGUGAAGUUGAAAGCAUAUAUUUCAAGAAUGUAAAUAUACGCAUAUUCGAAGUCAGGAUGAAGUCGUGAGACACGUUUUCGUUGGAAUCGGUUUACUCGAUCAAGAAACGGAGAUUCGGACGGGAAAGUGACCCGUAUACGAAUAAAAUUGCGCGAUGGAACAAGCAGGCAAUCGCUAACAUCGUGACGCGAACGAUUUUCAUUAUUAUUCGCGCGUCAAUAAGUCCGUUGCGUUCGUUUUCUCGUCACUUACGAUCUCCUUCUUUUUCACGAUUCAACGUUUUAUCGUUUAAUAAAUGUCGCCGCUAACGUGACCUUCUUUUUUCUUUUUCUUUUUCUUUCUUUUUUUUCGUCCGCCUAGCGCGAUAAAUAUUCAAACGCAAUUCAAAUCUAUGUGCAAUUAUAAUCCGAAUUCCGCGCGUGCCUCGUUAUUUAUUUCGUAUUGAGCGUAAUGGGAAAACGAAAACGAGAGAAUAACGUUGCGUGAAAUUGUCCGCAAAUGUCUCUCUUGGCUGAUUUACGAAUACAGAUUCUCGGCAUUGAGUCUAUCGAAAAAGGCUAUCAUCCGCGUCAUUUUACAUCUACGCGUUUCUUAAUAAUCCUCUCGAAAAAGAGGAGCUUAAAAUACUCGAAUACUCGGUCCCCCUCGAUACAUAUUUCUCAUUCGGUUAGAUUACAACGUUUGUAACGUUUAUCGAAAACACAGAAGAUAGCCUAUUACUCAUGUUGGACAGGUAAUUUACACAGGUUGUUAAAAAAAAAAAAAGAAAAAUUGUAUGCAAAA